CCUACGGGAGGCAGCAGUAGGGAAUCUUCCGCAAUGGACGAAAGUCUGACGGAGCAACGCCGCGUGAGUGAUGAAGGUUUUCGGAUCGUAAAGCUCUGUUGUUAGGGAAGAACAAGUGCGAGAGUAACUGCUCGCACCUUGACGGUACCUAACCAGAAAGCCACGGCUAACUACGUGCCAGCAGCCGCGGUAAUACGUAGGUGGCAAGCGUUGUCCGGAAUUAUUGGGCGUAAAGGGCUCGCAGGCGGUUUCUUAAGUCUGAUGUGAAAGCCCCCGGCUCAACCGGGGAGGGUCAUUGGAAACUGGGAAACUUGAGUGCAGAAGAGGAGAGUGGAAUUCCACGUGUAGCGGUGAAAUGCGUAGAGAUGUGGAGGAACACCAGUGGCGAAGGCGACUCUCUGGUCUGUAACUGACGCUGAGGAGCGAAAGCGUGGGGAGC
rnacentral:rRNA from 1 species